rnacentral:rRNA from 1 species
AAUCUUGCGCAAUGGGCGAAAGCCUGACGCAGCCAUGCCGCGUGAAUGAUGAAGGUCUGAGGAGUGUAAAAUUCUUUCACCGGGGACGAUAAUGACGGUACCCGGAGAAGAAGCCCCGGCUAACUUCGUGCCAGCAGCCGCGGUAAUACGAAGGGGGCUAGCGUUGCUCGGAAUUACUGGGCGUAAAGCGCGCGUAGGCGGAGCGUUAAUUCAGAGGUGAAAUCCCAGGGCUCAACCCUGGGACUGCCUUUGAUACUGGCGAUCUUGAGUAUGAGAGGGGUAUGUGGAACUCCGAGUGUAGAGGUGAAAUUCGUAGAUAUUCGGAAGAACACCAGUGGCGAAGGCGACAUACUGGCUCAUUACUGACGCUGAGGCGCGAAAGCGUGGGGAGCAAACAG